rnacentral:tRNA from 1 species
GGUGAGAUGGCCGAGUUGGUUAUGGCGCCAGGUUAAGGUCAUCUUAACACAGUUUCCUGGUGGGGCAACCCUCGUGGGUUCGAAUCCCACUCUCAUCA